rnacentral:rRNA from 1 species
AACGAACGCUGGCGGCAUGCCUAACACAUGCAAGUCGAACGAGACCUUCGGGUCUAGUGGCGCACGGGUGCGUAACGCGUGGGAACCUGCCCUUAGGUUCGGAAUAACUCCCCGAAAGGGGUGCUAAUACCGGAGAAUGUCUUCGGACCAAAGAUUUAUCGCCUUUGGAUGGGCCCGCGUUGGAUUAGCUAGUUGGUAGGGUAAAAGCCUACCAAGGCGACGAUCCAUAGCUGGUCUGAGAGGAUGAUCAGCCACACUGGGACUGAGACACGGCCCAGACUCCUACGGGAGGCAGCAGUGGGGAAUAUUGGACAAUGGGCGAAAGCCUGAUCCAGCAAUGCCGGGUGAGUGAUGAAGGCCUUAGGGUUGUAAAGCUCUUUUACCCGGGAUGAUAAUGACGGUACCGGGAGAAUAAGCACCGGCUAACUCCGUG